AAGAAAGGAGCAUGGUGGUUAUGCAGUUGGCUUGAAACUGAUUUAAGGGGGUUCGAAUCCCUUCUUUCUUG
rnacentral:tRNA from 1 species